UCGAUCUCAAAUCAAGUAGACUACCCGCUGAACUU
rnacentral:rRNA from 1 species